rnacentral:lncRNA from 10 species
CAUUAUGUAAGUUUUUAUACUCUUUACAGUUGUUACUAUCAGCUGAGUCAGCCCUGGUGAGCAAGGACUUGGAAAUUUCCCAGUCUGUCCACCCACCCAGCCUAGCAUGGGCACAGAUGAAGGGAGGAGCUGUGAGGUCCUCAAGGACGAGGAAGGAGCCCUGAGAAGGAGUCAGAUGCAGCAACAAAGUCCAAGCCUGCUAUGCAUCAGAAUCACCUUGGGAGAUUAAAGUAGAUUCGGACUUCUACCUCAGCCCUCUAUAUCAGAAUCAACAGGUCUGGAGUCUGGAAGUUGAAGAUCAAGGCCCAGCUGCUUGGGUUCCUGGAAUCUUUCAAAAUAUGGGCGCA